UACGAAGGGGGCAAGCGUUACUCGGAAUUACUGGGCGUAAAGCGCGUGUAGGCGGUCCGGUAAGUCCGCUGUGAAAGUCGGGGGCUCAACCCUCGGAUGCCGGUGGAUACUGUCGGGCUUGAGUACGGAAGAGGCGAGUGGAAUUCCUGGUGUAGCGGUGAAAUGCGCAGAUAUCAGGAGGAACACCAAUUGCGAAGGCAGCUCGCUGGGACGUUACUGACGCUGAGACGCGAAAGCGUGGGGAGCAAACAGG
rnacentral:rRNA from 1 species